rnacentral:rRNA from 1 species
GUUGAGGCCAANAANCAGGUCUNUUNAUGCCCCUUNAGAUGNUNCUGGUCCGCCACGCNGGGCUACAACUGAUACGUUCAUCGAGNUUUACAACCUUUGAUCGGAAGGUCCGGGGUAAUCCUUUUAAAAGCGUAUCGUGCUGGGGGAUAGAUUAUUGUAAUUAUUAAUCUUCAACGAGGAAUUCNUAGUAAACGCAAGUCAUCAACUUGCAUUGAUUACGUCCCUGCCCUUUGUACACACCGCCCGUCGCUACUACCGAUUGAAUGAUUUAGUGAGUUACAGGGACCNCGUCGCUUGGUUGGGUUUCCUUCCUUGCGAUGUUAGGAACUGUCACAAAU